ACGGAAGGCAGCAGUGGGGGAUAUUGCACAAUGGGGGAAACCCUGAUGUAGCGACGCCGCGUGAGUGAAGAAGUAUUUCGGUAUGUAAAGCUCUAUCAGCAGGGAAGAAAAUGACGGUACCUGACUAAGAAGCCCCGGCUAACUACGUGCCAGCAGCCGCGGUAAUACGUAGGGGGCAAGCGUUAUCCGGAUUUACUGGGUGUAAAGGGAGCGUAGACGGCGAAGCAAGUCUGAAGUGAAAGCUCGGGGCUCAACCCCGGAACUGCUUUGGAAACUGUUUUGCUAGAGUGCAGGAGAGGCAAGUGGAAUUCCUAGUGUAGCGGUGAAAUGCGUAGAUAUUAGGAGGAACACCAGUGGCGAAGGCGGCUUGCUGGACUGUAACUGACGUUGAGGCUCGAAAGCGUGGGGAGCAAACAGGAUUAGAUACCCUGGUA
rnacentral:rRNA from 1 species